rnacentral:lncRNA from 1 species
UGUGAACCCCCUUGCUGGCAUCAUGGUCGCCCAUUUGCAGGGGAAUAACUCUGUUCUGCUGCAAUGAUGCCUAUUCCCCCCCUCUCUCUCUCCACAAUGGCUGUAUCAAUGCAUUGCUUCUCUUUCUCUCUCUCUCUUCCCUGUUGCUGGCUUGCUGCGCUCUGCCGAGGUGAUGAUGAGGGUGAUCUCUCGCACAGGACCCUGAUCCUGGCCACCUCAAAUUUCGAGCCAAACCCAAAAGUUUAGGGGCUUUUCAGAGCCGGAACGGAAGUCUGGCCGGCAAGGCACAGGCCACUCCACUGCUCCUGCUGUCCUGCUCGAGCUGGUGGCUGCUGGCUCGCCGGACCGGACGGACCGCCGGCCGGGGCCGGGCCGUCAUAGUUUCCGUGCCCAAUUAAAUGCCGGCCGCCGUGUCACCAAUUUGCC